GGCAUAUUAUCACAGUUGGUUAGAGCGUCGUGCUAAUAACGCGAAGGUCGCACAUUCGAAACCUGCAUGGGCCA
rnacentral:tRNA from 1 species